rnacentral:rRNA from 1 species
AUUGAACGCUGGCGGCAUGCUUUACACAUGCAAGUCGAACGGCAGCGCGGGCUUCGGCCUGGCGGCGAGUGGCGAACGGGUGAGUAAUGCAUCGGAACGUGCCCAGUAGUGGGGGAUAGCCCGGCGAAAGCCGGAUUAAUACCGCAUACGACCUGAGGGUGAAAGCGGGGGACCGAAAGGCCUCGCGCUAUUGGAGCGGCCGAUGUCGGAUUAGCUAGUUGGUGGGGUAAAGGCUUACCAAGGCGACGAUCCGUAGCUGGUCUGAGAAGACGACCAGCCACACUGGGACUGAGACACGGCCCAGACUCCUACGGGAGGCAGCAGUGGGGAAUUUUGGACAAUGGGGGCAACCCUGAUCCAGCCAUGCCGCGUGCGGGAAGAAGGCCUUCGGGUUGUAAACCGCUUUUGUUCGGGAAGAAAUCCUCUGGGCUAAUACCCCGGGGGGAUGACGGUACCGGAAGAAUGAGCACCGGCUAACUACGUG